rnacentral:rRNA from 1 species
AACGAACGCUGGCGGCAGGCUUAACACAUGCAAGUCGAACGCCCCGCAAGGGGAGUGGCAGACGGGUGAGUAACACGUGGGAAUGUGCCCUAAGGUUCGGAAUAUUCUCGGGAAACUGAGAGCAAUACCGAAUGUGUCCGAGAGGAGAAAGAUUUAUCGCCUUAGGAUCGGCCCGCGUUGGUUUAGCUAGUUGGAGGGGUAAAAGCCUACCAAGGCGACGAUUCAUAGCUGGUCUGAGAGGACGACCAGCGACACUGGGACUGAGACACGGCCCAGACUCCUACGGGAGGCAGCAGUGGGGAGUCUUGGACAGGGGGCGCAAGCCUGAUCCAGCCAUGCCGCGUGAGUGAUGAAGGCCCUAGGGUUGUAAAACUCUUUCGCCGAGGACGAUAAUGACGGUACUCGGAGAAGAAGCUCCGGCUAACUUCGUGCCAGCCGCCGCGGUAA